rnacentral:rRNA from 1 species
GUUCAAUUAGAACAUGAAAACACGACUCAAUUAAUCUCAGUUUGUCUUCGGGGUGGAGUGGAAGAAGGGCGGAGACCCUCGAACGAGGAAAAUGAUCCCUUCGAAAGAAUUGACUGAGGAGGCAUAUGAGGUGAAAAUCUCAUGUACGGUUCUGUAAAGGGGAUUGGCUUUGGGCCUUUCCUGCGCAACUUAGGUGGAAGGCGAAGAAGGCCCCCUUCUGGGAGGGGGCGAGCCAUCAGUGAGAUACCACUCUGGAAGAGCUCGGAUUCUAACCUUGUGUUAGAUCUGCGGACCAAGGGACAGUCUUAGGUAGAUAGUUUCUAUGGGGCAUAGGCCCCCCAAAAGGUAUCGGAGGCGUGCAAAGGUUUCCUCAGGCCAGACGGACAUUGGUCCUUGAGUGUAAAGGAAAAAGGGAGCUUGACUGCAAGACUCACCUAUCGAGCAGAGACGAAAGUCAGCCUUAGUGAUCCGACGGUGCUGAGUGGAAGGGUCGUCGCUCAACGGAUAAAAGUUACUCUAGGGAUAACAGACCGAUCUUCCCCAAGAGUCCACAUCGAUGGGAAGGUUUGGCACCUCGAUGUCGGCUCUUCGCCACCUGGAGCUGUAGGUGGUUCCAAGGGUUGCGUUGUUCGCCCAUUAAUGCAGUAUGUGAGCUGGGUUCAGAAUGUCGUGAGACAAUUCGGUCCAUAUCCAUUGUGGGCUUUAGAGCAUUGAGAGGACCUUUCCCUAGUACGAGAGGACCGGGAAGGAUGCACCCAAUUAUCGUGCCUACGGUAAACACUGGGUAACCAAAGUGCGGAGAGGAUAACUGCUGAAAGCGUAUAAGUAGUAAGCCCACCCCAAGAUGAGUGAUCUCUCCUCCGACUUCCCUAGAGCCCCCAGUAUCUCAACCGAGACAGCGACGGGUUCUCCACCCAUACGGGGAUGGAGCGACAGAAGUAUGGAAAUAGGAUAAGGUAGCGGCGGGAUGAGCCGUUUAAAUAGGUGUCAAGUGGAAGUGUAGUGAUGUAUGCAGCUGAGGCAUCCUAACGAACAAACAAUUUGAACCU